ACUCCUACGGGAGGCAGCAGUAGGGAAUAUUGGUCAAUGGGCGAAAGCCUGAACCAGCCAUGCCGCGUGUCAGAUGAAGGUCCUCUGGAUUGUAAAAUGACUUUUCUACGGGAAGAAUGAGCCGUCUGCGGACGGAAGUUGACGGUACCGUAGGAAUAAGCACCGGCUAACUACGUGCCAGCAGCCGCGGUAAUACGUAGGGGUGCAAGCGUUGUCCGGAUUUACUGGGUUUAAAGGGUACGUAGGCGGUUGUGCCAAGUCUGGGGUGAAAGUUUGCAGCUCAACUGUAAAAUUGCCUUGGAUACUGGUCGGCUAGAGUAGUGGAGCGGUGGCUGGAAUUUAUAGUGUAGCGGUGAAAUGCUUAGAUACUAUGAGGAACACCAAUUGCGAAGGCAGGUCACUGGUCACUAACUGACGCUGAGGUACGAAAGUGUGGGGAUCAAACAGGAUUAGAUACCCUGGUAG
rnacentral:rRNA from 1 species